rnacentral:rRNA from 1 species
UCCAGACUCCUACGGGAGGCAGCAGUGGGGAAUAUUGGACAAUGGACCGAGAGUCUGAUCCAGCAAUUCUGUGUGCACGAUGAAGUUUUUCGGAAUGUAAAGUGCUUUCAGUUGGGAAGAAAAAAAUGACGGUACCAACAGAAGAAGUGACGGCUAAAUACGUGCCAGCAGCCGCGGUAAUACGUAUGUCACGAGCGUUAUCCGGAUUUAUUGGGCGUAAAGCGCGUCUAGGUGGUUAUGUAAGUCUGAUGUGAAAAUGCAGGGCUCAACUCUGUAUUGCGUUGGAAACUGUAUAACUAGAGUACUGGAGAGGUAAGCGGAACUACAAGUGUAGAGGUGAAAUUCGUAGAUAUUUGUAGGAAUGCCGAUGGGGAAGCCAGCUUACUGGACAGAUACUGACGCUAAAGCGCGAAAGCGUGGGUAGCAAACAGGAUUAGAUACCCUGGUAGUCCACGCUGUAAACGAUGAUUACUAGGUGUUGGGGGUCGAACCUCAGCGCCCAAGCAAACGCGAUAAGUAAUCCGCCUGGGGAGUACGUACGCAAGUAUGAAACUCAAAGGAAUUGACGGGGGCCCGCACAAG